rnacentral:miRNA from 1 species
CAGCAGCAGCGGUGCUCCUGCCCCUCCGCCACCUCCCCCGCAGCCGCUUCUCCAGGGAGGUGUAGCAGGGAGGG